rnacentral:rRNA from 1 species
CCUACGGGAGGCAGCAGUGGGGAAUAUUGGACAAUGGGGGCAACCCUGAUCCAGCCAUGCCGCGUGUGUGAAGAAGGCCCUCGGGUUGUAAAGCACUUUCAGUGAGGAAGAACGCCUGGUGGUUAAUACCCAUCAGGAAAGACAUCACUCACAGAAGAAGCACCGGCUAACUCCGUGCCAGCAGCCGCGGUAAUACGGAGGGUGCGAGCGUUAAUCGGAAUUACUGGGCGUAAAGCGCGCGUAGGUGGCUUGAUAAGCCGGUUGUGAAAGCCCCGGGCUCAACCUGGGAACGGCAUCCGGAACUGUCAAGCUAGAGUGCAGGAGAGGAAGGUAGAAUUCCCGGUGUGGCGGUGAAAUGCGUAGAGAUCGGGAGGAAUACCAGUGGCGAAGGCGGCCUUCUGGACUGACACUGACACUGAGGUGCGAAAGCGUGGGUAGCAAACAGGAUUAGAUACCCUAGUAGUC